AACGAACGCUGGCGGCAGGCUUAACACAUGCAAGUCGAACGCGCCCUUCGGGGCGAGUGGCAGACGGGUGAGUAACGCGUGGGAACCUACCUUUUGGUACGGAAUAACUCAGGGAAACUUGAGCUAAUACCGUAUGUGCCCUUAUCCUUGAUCGGGUUUGGGGAAAGAUUCAUCGCCAAAGGAUGGGCCCGCGUCGGAUUAGCUAGUUGGUGGGGUAACGGCCUACCAAGGCGACGAUCAGUAUCUGGUUUGAGAGGAUGAUCAGACACACUGGAACUGAGACACGGUCCAGACUCAUACGGGAGGCAGCAGUGGGGAAUUUUCCGCAAUGGGCGAAAGCCUGACGGAGCAAUCUCGCGUGAGGGAUGACGGCCUAUGGGUUGUAAACCUCUUUUUUCAGGGAGGAACAAAAUGACGUGUACCUGAAGAAUAAGCAUCGGCUAACUCCGUGCCAGCAGCCGCCGUAACAC
rnacentral:rRNA from 1 species